rnacentral:misc_RNA from 1 species
CCUCCUUUCUAAGGAUGAGUGAUAGAGAAAAAUAUCAUUCUAAAUAAUAUACAUCGGUAAUGUUGACCGUCCUCAUUUCUCUUCUUAAAGUAAUGUUUCCUUCUUGUAGGGCCGGUAGCUCAGUUGGUUAGAGCACACCCUUGAUAAGGGUGGGGUCGAAAGUUCGAGUCUUUCUCGGCCCACCAAAAACCUAAAUGGGGGAUUAGCUCAUCUGGGAGAGCGCCUGAUUUGCAUUCAGGAGGUCAGCGGUUCGAUCCCGCUAUCCUCCACCAGGAAACAUUUAGCUAUUAAAAAUGUAAAUAAAAAUAAUUAAUAUCAAUAUCUAUAUCCGAACAUUAAAAGUUAUUAUUUAAUGUCCAAAAUAAAAAUUUGAUCACAACACAGAAAAUUUUUUUCUGUGCAUAAAUCAAGCGUUUAAGGGCGUGUGGCGGAUGCCUNGGCACUGAAAGCCGAUGAAGGACGUGAUAUACUGCGAU